rnacentral:rRNA from 1 species
UACGGAGGGUGCGAGCGUUAAUCGGAAUUACUGGGCGUAAAGGGUGUGUAGGUGGUUUGGUAAGUUAUCUGUGAAAGUCCUGGGCUCAACCUGGGAAGGUCAGAUAAGACUGCGAGACUUGAGUAUAGGAGAGGGUAGUGGAAUUUCCGGUGUAGCGGUGAAAUGCGUAGAGAUCGGAAGGAACACCAGUGGCGAAGGCGGCUACCUGGCCUGAUACUGACACUGAGGCACGAAAGCGUGGGGAGCAAACAGG